rnacentral:lncRNA from 10 species
CGCCCCGCCCCGCCCCGCCUGCCCCUCCGCGCGGCUCCCGGGCGACCGGCGCUCCCGCCUCCCGCCUUUCCCGCUGCUUGCCGGGUCCCGGCCCGGCGACGCGCGCUCACACCCUCCUCCCGAGCCGCCCUCACGCCGAGCGCUGCGGACGGGGGCGCGCAACCUGCCGCCGGCCGGGACCCUGCGGCGAGUGCCGGAACCCGGCCGGGCGGGGCCUCCCGCGGCCCGGCCGCUUUAUUGGGUCACCGGCCUCGCCCACCGCCCUGCCAGCCGCAGCCAUCUCGGCGGGCGCGCCGCUCGCAGCCAGCGCCCCAUCCCCAGGCCUGCACGUACGUCGUCGGCGAUCCGGGGCCGGGGGCGGCUCCGAGGUCGUCGGGGCCGGGGUCCCACCUCCUCUUGGAGGAAGCGCCGCCUCCCCACCCGCCCGGGGCCCUCGCCAAGUGGCUGCUAACAAAGCCCAGGGCCCGGCUGCGGGAUGGUUGACUGACAAAGUCAUGCCUGCCUAGCCAGCUUCCUCGUGCAGCACGGUGAAGGCUGGGGCGCCGGGUUUUUACUCCCACGUCCUGCCAACUCGAGCUGACAAGGCGGGCAAUCCACCAGCGGGAGCGUUGGCAGGCCCGGGGUCAGAUCCUGAUUCAGCCAGUUAAUUGGUAGGAGUGGGGCCCAUUUGUAGAAUGAAGGUGAUAACUGCCUCGUGGGGUUAUUGGCAUUAAAUGAAGAAUGUAGGGAACCUAGCAUGGUUCUUGAUGUCUAGGAGGUGCUCGGUGAAGGGUGCCUAUGAUUCGCUUUGUCUUCUAAAUACUUUUGGCAGCACUUGAGGUGUUAAAGUCUGUAUCCCAGACUUUAUUAGUCUUGUUGUUUUACGUGACUUAAGCGAUUAGCUCAAACGCCCAAGUACAAAAUGGGGCUAAACCCAGGUUUUCCGACACGAUUCUACCUCCAUGGCUCUAUCUCCAGCUCCACCCAAGGCCUCCAAAAUGGUGUUCUCCUAAAGUGACCAACAAAACACCAAGCUGUGUCAUGGUGCCACUUUGGCGAUGUGGUCUCUUAGGAGAGGGAAUUCUAAGUAGUUAAUUAGCUUGUUCCUUUCUACGUUGUAGUCUUGACCAAGGACAAUGUGUUGGCAUUUAAUGCCACUGAAGAUUUAAGAGACUAAGGAAUCAGAUCCUCUGAGAUUCCUAAAUCUGUGUAAUAAAAUGGGUUCUACACAUAGCUAUUCCAAAAAAUUCAGUCAGAUAUUACUAACAAGAUAGACAGAUUAUAAUCUGUAUGAAAUUUCUAGGAGUAAUAAAAAUCAGAAUAGACCCCGUAACCCCGAGUAUGUGUCUAAUUUUCUCAACUAUAAAAUAAUUAAAACUAAAGGCCUUUCUCUUCCUCCCUUGGUGAAUGCCCUUAUGUGAAUUCAGCUGACACACUCAGAAUGACAAAGGAGUUAGAAAUUCACAUCAACAGCAAUUGGUCCCAACUGACUCAAACCAUGAGACUUCUGCCCUGCUAAGAUACCUUGUCAGUAUCUACCACUUUAGCAAUUCUGGGUAAAUGGGGGAAGAAAGAGCCAAAUCAGCUCUUUUUUUUUUUUUCAUUAAAAAGCAAAUUUUUUUUAGAGCCAGUCUUGCCUUACGUAGCCCAGGCUGGAGUGCAGUGGCACAAUCAUGACUCACUGUAACCUCGAACUCCUGGCCUCAAGAGAUCCUCCCAUCUCAGCCUCCCAAGUAACUGGAACUAAAGGCACAGGCCACUCCACCUGGCCAAUUUAUUUUUAAAAUUUUUUAGGGACGUGGUUCUACUGUGUUGCCCAGGUGGGUCUUGAACUCCUGGCCUCAAGCAAUCCUCUGGCCUUGGUCUCCCAAAGCACCAGGAUUACAGGUGUGAGCCACCAAACCCGGCCCAAAUCAGCUCUUUAUUCUAACUGGUGGUCUCACCGCAACAACACAAAAUCUACAGCGUGCCAACUGUGCUUCAGCCGCUGGAUGCACUAAGACAAAACUGUCUUGAUCUACACAGUUGAGUUAGACUUAACAGUUCUCAGUAAUCAUGAUAAAAUAGGGACUAUGUACCAAAUGCUAGCCUAGGAUAUGGAACAACUAAUUCUGCCUUUGGUAGCUAGGCCUCAGUAAGUUUUAUCUCAGUAUUCUGUGGGAAGGGCAGCAAAGGAGGAGGAUCUGUAUCAUUUUUCUGUAUUCAAGAGCUAUGCAUUUGAUUAUCAUCUUAGCUGAAUUACACAUUGCAAGAAGUGCCUUUAAGCAAUAUGGUUUUUAGAUAUUUCAGUGACGGUAUCAUUCAUGGUUCAGCACAAAUAUGUGUUUUUUACAUUUCACUUUCUCUCCUUUCUAAAAGAAAGGAGUUUUUAAACCAGUGUUUACAAACUGCACUCUGUCCCCUUCUUCUAAGAAAUAAUAUUUAAACAAAUAAUAGCAAUCAUUAUUCUACAUACCUUUAACCCAGCUUCACUUACAAUGCAGCUCGUGGAUGGCAGAGCUGUGUGUUGUCCGUGGUCAGACACACAGGAAGUCUGAAUUGUUAUCCUGUUCUGCCACUGAAAUGUGUAAAAUAUAGGGGGAGUGUCCCAAGUCAUUUUCCUAAAAGCAUCAUCCAACUAUGAGCUGAACACUGCCCCGAGAAUGCAACAGAACUUCAGCUCUGUCCCAAGGUCGUCAGCCACAGCUCCAAGUUUCUUAGCAUCAGCUUUUUCUGAACAAAAUAGUGCAUCCUGCUGGAAUCACUACUGUAAACUGAGUAUAAAGGAAAAUAAACCCUCUUUUUCUUAUCCACUAUGUUCCCUACUCCCGUGCUUUUCCCAGUGCUCCAGAAACAAUUACAGAUUUACAUGAAGUUUCAAAUGAUGUGCCAGGAUGUCCUAUGUCACUUUCACAUCAGUUCCCCCAAUGGAAAAAAAUGAAGAAGAAGAGGAGAAAGAAUAAGAGGAUGAAGAGGGGAGGAAUAGAAAAAGAAAAUGUUUACCUGAUUUACUAUGAUUAUUUAAUACUAAUUAUUUUGCUUUUUGCAAUAAAGUGUUGCAAAACUUUGCCUUUCCCCAGGCAAAUGGGAGAAAUAAGUGUGCACCUUAUCUUUUUUUUCCUAUCCACCGUUUCUCUCUCGCCCUUCACUUUUUCCAUCCCCUUUAAGUCUUCA